GACUUAGCUUUUGACCUCUUCCCUCCCACUGCACAGAAAGACUCAGCCCCAGUUCCUGGCUGGGUUUUUAUGAUGUGGAUGUGGAGGUUUUUUUUUUUUUUAAAGGAAAAAGCUGAGAAGCAGCACUGGGACCCGGUAUUGCUCAGACCACCUUAAAUCAGCCUCGCCGCCCCAGCUACUGUGGAAAUUCCUUUCUCUGCAGUGGUUGGCUGGGCACGCCAGCCAAUCCGCCUGCGGCGCUCCCACAUGGGUCCGUGACGUCACAAUGGGAAAUGACCAAUGGGGAUCAGGGAUCUGGCAACCAAUGGCAGAAAACGCUAGGAUUGGCUGGGCCAAUCGGAAGGCGGCAAGGCGCUCCCAGCAGGGUGUGGAGAGUGUGGCUCCCCUCCUUGAGAGAAGCCUGAGAUCCUCGUGGACGCCUGAUUCUGCCCCGGUUUGGCUUUCGGGGGGGUACUCCAGCUCGGUUAGUAUCCAAAAAGCGCGGGGAGAAGCGAGCCACCUCCUAAGCCUGGCUGGUCUUCCCUUAAAAUGAAGAGUUCCGUAGUCCAACAUACUACUUUGCAAAAAGCCUGGCCAGCUGGCUGGGCCGACUAGCACUUUUCGCCCUAUUUCACAGGUGGGUAAACUGAGGUAGAGACGUCAAGUCACUCCAGAUGCCCAGGGAAGAACUGAGACUCUCACCCGAGCCCGGAGGCUCCCAGCACGUCUCAGUUUCUCCCAUCAGGUCGGAUGGGAAGGGAUGGGCCCAGGUGUAGGCGAAGGGAGAGGGUUGCUGGUCCCCAAGACUCAGUUUCCCCGGGCGCGAAAGGGCGAGGAGAUGGGAGCAGGGAUUCUCAGAAAGACUACGAGCCCCAGAAGCUCCCGCGCGGCGCCCGCCUGGGCUGUCAAUCAAAGUAACGUGGGUCCCUCUCCGGCCCGCGCUCCCCCUCCCGACGCCUCUCUCCUGCCAGCUCCUGCUCCCUCCCCGCCGGCUCCGGGCCCGGCGCGGUAUAAUUACAGCCCAUUGAUCCGACCCGGGCCGGGAAAGCGGCUCCCUCGGGGAGGCCAAGCCUUUGGCUUCCGACUUCGCCAACCUCUGCCUACCGCCCCCCUAGCCGAGCUGCUGGGCCACCAGCCAGGCCUGUCCCCUCCCGCUGGCCAGGGCUUUCGGGUGACCUCUGAGCCUCCGUUCCCGCCACGGUUGGCUGUGAGCCCCCCUCAGAAAAAUUACACACGUUUCCUUCCACCCAUGAAUACAGGGAGCCUUCCUGCCCUGUUCUAGCGCCCUGCCCUCUACCUCCUCAUGUGACCUAGGGACACUUGAGCGCAUCUCUCUGGGCCAGUUUUCUCACCUGUAUAGUGAGACGGUUGCACAAGAUUUAUGCAUGAAACCAGUGCUUUUUGCUGCUCCCAAGCUUGCAGCCAGGGCUAGGCCAUGCAGGAGGGGUUCCCAAGUUUGGGGAAGUGGGAGGAGACCAAGCACCAGACUCAGCCCCUUGAGAGUGGUCUGGGCUGAGGAGAAGGGAGGACCUGGGGUGGAAAUGGGGGUGAAGGCAGAGCCAGGAGUGAGGUGCCUAUAUGGAAAGUUGGAAAGGGAUGCUAGAUGUCUGGUGGGGUGUUUAAGCUGAGGUUCUGCAGGGUACAUAGGAGUUGCCUCAUUUGAACUGUGCCUUUAUAUAACCCUAACCCAACAUGGAGGAGGAAAGAUGGGGCAACUUUAAACCCUGCCCUGGGGUUGAGGAGCCUUGAGGUCUGACCUCUUGCCUUACUGAGUGGGCCUCUGAACAUUCUCUGGCUGUCAAGCUGAAGCAGGGAGUGAACACAGCAUGGCUGUAAUAUCACUCUGCCUACUUUCACAAGGGUCUGCAAAAUCCCAUUCAGCUCUGGUUAACGGGGGACAGGGGAAACAGCAGCCAGUGGCAGCAGGCUCUGGGAUUGGCUGAGGGCUCCAAACUCCAGCCUUCCCCUGGGCAAGAACUGGACUGCAAAGGGGAAAAAAAGAAAGGACUUUUGGGAGUCCAGGAUGGACCUGGACUCAGUGGGUAUUCUCAUCUGGAAAAGGAGAUUGAUAACAGAAUCUUCAAAUAAGUUCAGGCCUAUCAAGUACUUAAAAUGCUUAAUAGUAGGGACUUCUCUACUUAGUCCAGUGGCUAAGACUCCAGACUCCCAAUGCAGGGGGCCUGGGUUGGAUCCCCGUUCAGGGAACUAGAUCCCAUGUGCCUCAACUAACACCUGCCACAACCAAAUAAAUAAAUAAACAAAUAAAUAAAUUUUUUAAAUUCAUAGUAAAUGCUGUAAACAGGGUAGCCAUUUACACUUCCUUUAUGCCCCAAACGGCCCUUCUCUACCCAGCCUCACUUCGCACCCAACAGCUGGGCUAGGCACUCACUUUUCACUUUUCCCACAUCUUUGAUCACCCAUGAAAUGUGAAUCCAAUCUCACCCUUCCCUCUGCUCAGGAAUCUUCCAUAGCUCCCCGUCACCCUCAGAAUAAAAUGCAAACUCUUCACCUCUGUCUACAAGAUCUGACACCCCCCCCCCAUCACUUUUCUCCUCCUCUCAUCACUCACUCCCCUCAGGCCUCCUCCCUGUUCCUCCAACACUGCAGGCAUGAUGGUCCUGCCUCAGGGCCUUUGCACAAGCAGUUUAUUUUGCCUGGACCAUGACUGGCUCAUCUCUUAAGCUUAGAUCAAACAUCACCACUGAGGGAGGGCCUGGCCUGGCCAGCCUGGCUCUAGCUGGCCCCAACCUCCCUACCCGGUCAGCUUCUUUCAUUUUAUUUCCUUUGGAAGCCUAGUCACUCUCUGAACAUUUACAACUUCUUUAAAAAAAAAAUUUGGCCAUCUCCAGUGGCAUGUGGGAUCUCUGUUCCCCAGCCAGGGAUUGAACCGAUGCCCCUGCAGUGGAAGCGUGGAGUCUUAACCUCUGCACUGCCAGAGAAGUCCUGAAUGCUCACAGUUUAUUUGUUUAAUGUUUAUGGUCUGUCCAGGCCCAACCGCACCUGUUCCACAUGUGUUGGGAAGCUGAGGGGUAGAGCCUCUGCCAGGUCAUUUGACAUGUGGGGCAGAGUCCCAGAGCCCCUGCCAACCUAUCCAGUGCUAACCCUGCCAGUAAGGCACCUCUGCAACCUGAAGGUCUGGGUUCAAAUCCUACCUUGGCCACUGUGCUCCUGUGACUCUGUAAAAUGGGGAUAAUGCCAGAUAUUUUCUCAUCGAUGUCACAGAAUCAAAGUAUGACAGANNNNNNNNNNNNNNNNNNNNNNNNNNNNNNNNNNNNNNNNNNNNNNNNNNNNNNNNNNNNNNNNNNNNNNNNNNNNNNNNNNNNNNNNNNNNNNNNNNNUUCUCAUCGAUGUCACAGAAUCAAAGUAUGACAGAUGAGACAGCUUCAGCUAUUAUGAUGAUGUCAGGGUGUGCAACUGGGGCAAACAGAGUUGGAGCUCACACUCAAAAGGUACCCCACUUUUUUUUGGUCAAACCUCAGGGCAUGUGAAACUUCCCUGGCUAGGGACCAAACCCGUGGCUCCUGCAGUGAAAGUGGAGUCUUAACCAUUAGACCAUCAGGGAAGCCCGAGGCAUCCCCUAUUUUUAAAACCCAGGGGUUUCCUGGUCAAUGUAUCUAUCCUAGACCCCAUAUCACCAAACUCACCCCCCCACCCCACCCCAUGCCAAGCCUUGACCUCACCCUCUGGACUUUGCCACGUGGCAUCUCUGUGAAUUCUACUUCCAUCUCUCCCCUGGGGAGGGCACUCCUUGCUGGACCUGAGACUCCCCUAGUCCCCCUGCACUGCACAGGUGUGAGUGGAACAUUGCGACCAAUAUGAAUCUCCCUCUCCAACUUCUGAUGUGCAGCGAGUCGUUUUAUCCACCCUGGGCCUCAGUUUGCUUAUCUGGAAAAGGGGGCUGUCCUUGGUAAUGGUUCUCAAGACAUUGAUUACUCUGAGCUAGCUGCUUUAUUCACUUGACCUUGUGUCUGAUGCUCACAGCUGCCCUGCAAAGUAAGGAAUGAGACCCUGCAGUUGACCAGGCUGAACUGCCUCCAGGCUUCUGCCCUGGACUCCCUUUACCUGGAACACCUCCCCCCAUCCCCUGUAUGCAGACUCCUGUAGUUAUCCAGGUCUCAGCUCAAAUGUCACCUCCUUGGAGAGACCUCCCCCCAUCUCCUAGCUUAAGUAGCCUCCUGUCAUUUUCUGUCUCCUGCCCCUACUGGAUUUUUCUUCCCAGCACCUGACUGUUCUCGGAAAUUAUCUUAUUCAUGGGUUUAUUUGUUGUCUUCUCUACCUGCUGUGGGUUCCACUAGGGGCAAAGAGGGGUGCUGUCCUGAGUCCAGGGCAGCCACCGCAGAGUCUGGCACACAGCAGGCGCCCAGUAAAUUCCGGUUGCCGGUGGCUGGUGGGUCUCGCUUGGGAGUGGGGGGUGGGGAGAUGGAGGCGACCAGGCCCAGAGACGCCGAGGGACCUGUCUAAGGUCACACAGUAGGCGGCGCUCGGGGUGAGCACUCGGUGGCUGUGGUCCUGGGCCCCCGGGGCCACCCCUCCUGCUUGCUGGGUGGCCGCCCCCUCGUCCCCCCGCCAAGGAACCACGGGUAACCCCGCAGGCCGGACCGACGUCACCCAAGUGGCCAGGUCAGGUCCAGCAGGGGACACGGAGCAAGGGUACCGCCCCUCCCCCGCCAGGGAGGCGGGAGGCCCAGAGGGGAGGGGGAGGAGGAAACGGAGGG
ensembl:lncRNA